UUGUAGAAAUUGCAUAAAAUAGGACUAAAUAAAUAUAUAGAUACAUGUACAGUCUACUUCCUUGACUAUAACCACAGAAGGGCUUGUUCCUAAAUUACGUGAAAUGCAAAAGCUUUUUGUAAUGUGCCAAAAAUGAAGGGAGGGAUCCUGUCCAUGGGAACUGGUGCAUCAAGUAAAAUUCCAUUCAUCCAUUAUCCUGUAUUUUCUACUACAUCUAUUCACCAAAAGUGAUAUCAGCAAUGCCACCCAGUGAGGAGUUUGGUGGAUUUGAUACUUGUUCUGUGGAGAAAGAAAUCAUGCGUGGAAAGAGGAUGAAAUGCACAGUCUGUGGAGAAACUGGAGCAACUAUUGGCUGUGAGCUAAAACGGUGCUAGAAAACCUUUCACUAUAUGUGUGCGAAAAAUGCUGGUGCUGAAAUUAUUAAAAGUGAGGAUAAAGAAAUAUAUGUAAUUUACUGUAAAGACCAUCAAAAUGGUAAG